rnacentral:tRNA from 1 species
ACCUUCGUAGUGUAGUGGUCAGCGCGAUCGACGCGUAUUCGAGAGAUCCGCGGUUCGAGUCCCGGCGAGGACU